rnacentral:rRNA from 1 species
UUUGGUUAAGUUAGAAAGGGCGCACGGUGGAUGCCUUGACACUAGGAGUCGAUGAAGGACGGGACUAACGCCGAUAUGCUUCGGGGAGCUGUAAGUAAGCUUUGAUCCGAAGAUUUCCGAAUGGGGAAACCCACCAUACGUAAUGGUAUGGUAUCCUUAUCUGAAUACAUAGGGUAAGGAAGACAGACCCAGGGAACUGAAACAUCUAAGUACCUGGAGGAAGAGAAAGCAAAUGCGAUUUCCUGAGUAGCGGCGAGCGAAACGGAACAUAGCCCAAACCAAGAGGCUUGCCUCUUGGGGUUGUAGGACAUUCUAUACGGAGUUACAAAGGAACGAGGUAGACGAAGCGACCUGGAAAGGUCCGUCGUAGAGGGUAACAACCCCGUAGUCGAAACUUCGUUCUCUCUUGAAUGUAUCCUGAGUACGGCGGAACACGUGAAAUUCCGUCGGAAUCUGGGAGGACCAUCUCCCAAGGCUAAAUACUCCCUAGUGAUCGAUAGUGAACCAGUACCGUGAGGGAAAGGUGAAAAGCACCCCGGAAGGGGAGUGAAAGAGAUCCUGAAACCGUGUGCCUACAAAUAGUCAGAGCCCGUUAACGGGUGAUGGCGUGCCUUUUGUAGAAUGAACCGGCGAGUUACGAUCCCGUGCGAGGUUAAGCUGAAGAGGCGGAGCCGCAGCGAAAGCGAGUCUGAAUAGGGCGUUUAGUACGUGGUCGUAGACCCGAAACCAGGUGAUCUACCCAUGUCCAGGGUGAAGUUCAGGUAACACUGAAUGGAGGCCCGAACCCACGCACGUUGAAAAGUGCGGGGAUGAGGUGUGGGUAGCGGAGAAAUUCCAAUCGAACCUGGAGAUAGCUGGUUCUCCCCGAAAUAGCUUUAGGGCUAGCCUUAAGUGUAAGAGUCUUGGAGGUAGAGCACUGAUUGGACUAGGGGUCCUCAUCGGAUUACCGAAUUCAGUCAAACUCCGAAUGCCAAUGACUUAUCCUUAGGAGUCAGACUGCGAGUGAUAAGAUCCGUAGUCAAAAGGGAAACAGCCCAGACCGCCAGCUAAGGUCCCAAAGUGUGUAUUAAGUGGAAAAGGAUGUGGAGUUGCUUAGACAACUAGGAUGUUGGCUUAGAAGCAGCCACCAUUUAAAGAGUGCGUAAUAGCUCACUAGUCGAGUGACUCUGCGCCGAAAAUGUACCGGGGCUAAAUACACCACCGAAGCUGCGGAUUGAUACCAAUGGUAUCAGUGGUAGGGGAGCGUUCUAAGGACAGUGAAGUCAGACCGGAAGGACUGGUGGAGUGCUUAGAAGUGAGAAUGCCGGUAUGAGUAGCGAAAGACGGGUGAGAAUCCCGUCCACCGAAUGCCUAAGGUUUCCUGAGGAAGGCUCGUCCGCUCAGGGUUAGUCAGGACCUAAGCCGAGGCCGACAGGCGUAGGCGAUGGACAACAGGUUGAUAUUCCUGUACCACCUCUUUAUCGUUUGAGCAAUGGAGGGACGCAGAAGGAUAGAAGAAGCGUGCGAUUGGUUGUGCACGUCCAAGCAGUUAGGCUGAUAAGUAGGCAAAUCCGCUUAUCGUAAAGGCUGAGCUGUGAUGGGGAAGCUCCUUAUGGAGCGAAGUCUUUGAUUCCCCGCUGCCAAGAAAAGCUUCUAGCGAGAUAAAAGGUGCCUGUACCGCAAACCGACACAGGUAGGCGAGGAGAGAAUCCUAAGGUGUGCGAGAGAACUCUGGUUAAGGAACUCGGCAAAAUGACCCCGUAACUUCGGGAGAAGGGGUGCUUUCUUAACGGAAAGCCGCAGUGAAUAGGCCCAAGCGACUGUUUAGCAAAAACACAGCUCUCUGCGAAGCCGUAAGGCGAAGUAUAGGGGGUGACACCUGCCCGGUGCUGGAAGGUUAAGGAGAGGGGUUAGCGUAAGCGAAGCUCUGAACUGAAGCCCCAGUAAACGGCGGCCGUAACUAUAACGGUCCUAAGGUAGCGAAAUUCCUUGUCGGGUAAGUUCCGACCCGCACGAAAGGUGUAACGAUUUGGGCACUGUCUCAACCAGAGACUCGGUGAAAUUAUAGUACCUGUGAAGAUGCAGGUUACCCGCGACAGGACGGAAAGACCCCGUGGAGCUUUACUGUAGCCUGAUAUUGAAUUUUGGUACAGUUUGUACAGGAUAGGCGGGAGCCAUUGAAACCGGAGCGCUAGCUUCGGUGGAGGCGCUGGUGGGAUACCGCCCUGACUGUAUUGAAAUUCUAACCUACGGGUCUUAUCGACCCGGGAGACAGUGUCAGGUGGGCAGUUUGACUGGGGCGGUCGCCUCCUAAAGUGUAACGGAGGCGCCCAAAGGUUCCCUCAGAAUGGUUGGAAAUCAUUCGUAGAGUGCAAAGGCAUAAGGGAGCUUGACUGCGA